rnacentral:sRNA from 2 species
AUCAUUCUCCUACCAGAACCUGUUGAAACCAAACCUCGUACCCCCACAACCCGCUUUUUCUGGCCAUCCGCCAAUAGAGACAUUACAAAAUGCUCAUCAACACGCUGCAAAUAGCCAAGACGAGGCGCAGACGAGGGAGGUGAAUCGCUCUCAACACCAAUUUCAGUUGUCCUCGCAAAUCCGUGUUUCUGGACGUUUCAAAUCGUUUGCGCAGCACAAUAAUGAGCAGUAAUGCGCAGAUACACGAAGAAACUUGGAAGUUGAUGACCAAGUUAGCCGUCAUUGGCGGCGACGAUCAACACAU